GGGUGAUGUUCAGCAUGGUGUAAAAAGUAGAUUCGUUCCAGUUGUCGUCCUUGGGAUUUGAGCCGACGGAGGGCAGGAGUGAACCAGGGUGCAGAGCGGGUGAAAGAGAUGGAUCUGGUUUUCAGUGGAACAUGAGUAUUCAGAAGAGUAUGGAGACUGUUGUUAUAGUGGGAAACCAGGUCAUCAGGUGAGCAGUUGGCAUGUGGACUGGGUAAAUUGAUGAUUUCAGAAGAAAAAGUCUCAA